UACGUAGGGCGCAAGCGUUAUCCGGAAUUAUUGGGCGUAAAGAGCUCGUAGGCGGUUUGUCGCGUCUGCCGUGAAAGUCCGGGCUCAACUCCGGAUCUGCGGUGGUACGGGCAGACUAGAGUGAUGUAGGGGAGACUGGAAUUCCUGGUGUAGCGGUGAAAUGCGCAGAUAUCAGGAAGAACACCCGUGGCGAAGGCGGCUCUCUGGAACGCAACUGACGCUGAGACGCGAAAGCGUGGGGAGCAAACAGG
rnacentral:rRNA from 1 species